rnacentral:rRNA from 1 species
GGCUCAUCACAUCCUGGGGCUGAAGUAGGUCCCAAGGGUAUGGCUGUUCGCCAUUUAAAGUGGUACGCGAGCUGGGUUUAGAACGUCGUGAGACAGUUCGGUCCCUAUCUGCCGUGGGCGCUGGAGAACUGAGGGGGGCUGCUCCUAGUACGAGAGGACCGGAGUGGACGCAUCACUGGUGUUCGGGUUGUCAUGCCAAUGGCACUGCCCGGUAGCUAAAUGCGGAAGAGAUAAGUGCUGAAAGCAUCUAAGCACGAAACUUGCCCCGAGAUGAGUUCUCCCUGACCCUUUAAGGUCCUGAAGGAACGUUGAAGACGACGACGUUGAUAGGCCGGGUGUGUAAGCGCAGCGAUGCGUUGAGCUAACCGGUACUAAUGAACCGUGAGGCUUAACCUU